UCGAUCUCAUAGUUUUAAUUCAAGGCAUAGCAAAUUUACAACACACUUUCUCCUGCAUACCAAAAACUCUAUUUCAUCCUUAGCUUUAUAUCUCCUAAACAUGUCUGACAAGUGCGGCAACUGCGACUGUGCUGACGUUAGCCAGUGCGUGAGGAAGGAAAGCCAAUAUGAUCUCAUCAUCGUCGAGAAGAGCGAGACCGUGGUGAUGGACGUUGGAGCGGUGGAGCAUGAUGGGAAAUGCAAGUGCGGCAGCAGCUGCGCCUGUGUGAACUGCACUUGUGGUCUUUAAGCCCUUUUAAGAACUAUGAAUAAAGUGUUUAAUGAAUAACAGUACUACUUUGUUAUCUGUGGUGAAAUAAACUUCUUGUGCUAAUUAAGUCUUAAUUGUCAAAAGAAAAUGUAAGGAGUCAGGCUAGUCCGUCUGUCUGUCUCUUUGGUCAAGUUUGUAGCACAACUUUCAUUGUUAAAUAGAUUAUUACUAUAGCA